rnacentral:piRNA from 1 species
CAGACUGCAGCAUGAGGACUGGGU